AUUGAACGCUGGCGGCAGGCCUAACACAUGCAAGUCGAGCGAGCGGCGGACGUGUGAGUAAUGUAUGGGGCUCUGCCCGAUAGAGGGGGAUAACUACUGGAAACGAUGGCUAAUACCGCAUACUAUCGUAUGCACCCAUAUGGUAUUCGCUAGUGGGUGGGGUAAAGGCUCACCUAGGCGACGAUCUCUAGCUGGUCUGAGAGGAUGAUCAGCCACACUGGGACUGAGACACGGCCCAGACUCCUACGGGAGGCAGCAGUGGGGAAUAUUGCACAAUGGGCGCAAGCCUGAUGCAGCCAUGCCGCGUGUAUGAAGAAGGCCUUAGGGUUGUAAAGUACUUUCAGCGGGGAGGCGUUACCCGCAGAAGAAGCACCGGCUAACUCCGUGCCAGCAGCCGCGGUAAUUC
rnacentral:rRNA from 1 species